rnacentral:rRNA from 1 species
UACAGAGGUCUCAAGCGUUGUUCGGAUUCAUUGGGCGUAAAGGGUGUCGUAGGUGGCGCGCUAAGUCGGGUGUGAAAUUUCGGAGCUUAACUCCGAAACUGCAUUCGAUACUGGCGUGCUUGAGGACUGGAGAGGAGACUGGAAUUCAUGGUGUAGCAGUGAAAUGCGUAGAGAUCAUGAGGAAGACCAGUGGCGAAGGCGGGUCUCUGGGCAGUAACUGACGCUGAGGAGCGAAAGCGUGGGGAGCGAACAGG